rnacentral:rRNA from 1 species
UACGAAGGGGCUAGCGUUGUUCGGAAUUACUGGGCGUAAAGCGCACGUAGGCGGAUACUUAAGUCAAGGGGUGAAAUCCCGGGGCUCAACCCCGGAACUGCCUUUGAUAACUGGGUAUCUCGAGUCCGGAAGAGGUGAGUGGAAUUCCGAGUGUAGAGGUGAAAUUCGUUAGAUAUUCGGAGGAACACCAGUGGCGAAGGGCGGCUCACUGGUCCCGGGUACUGACGCUGAGGUGCGAAAAGCGUGGGGGAGCAAACAGGG